UCUUGGAUGCAUACAAACCACAAUUCUUUUCCAGCCUUGGGAGAAUAGAAUCAAUGCUACUGUGGAACAAGCAAAAGGAUUACGUCCUAAUCGUUUAACCGGAACAGUUGAUCCUUACGUACGUGUGGAAUUAUCUUUGGAUGGCGAAACCAAGGAGCGGUUCCAAACAAAGACCAAAAAGAAAUGUAUGGAUCCCGUGUUCUCUGAGAAAUUUCAAUUCAGCAUUUCACCACAGCCAGAGACUUUGCAAUGUACAGGAAUUACGUUUACAGUAUAUGACCACGAGCGUUUGCGAAGCGAUGAGAUGAUUGGACAAGUAAGACUUGGCUUCAAAGCCACAGAGGAUUCCGAAUUAAUUCAGUGGCGAGAAGCGUUGCAAAGACCCGGUGAGAAAAUAACAAAAUGGCACCAUCUCAUGCUGGCUAGCAAGUUUAAUUGAAAAAAAAGGGACAUUAAAUUGAUUAGUGGAAAAUCAUUGCUUCCUUUGUAGAAUUCUCUGUAGUUUGGCGAUAACAUGAAUAUUCCAAAUCAAAAUUCCCAUAGUUAAUAAGAUCGUUUAUAGAAUUUUCCAAUUGGUGACAGGAAUAUAUUAAUAGAAUAGCGUGAUUAUAAAGCUGUAAGGCUUCUUUAUAUAAACGGACUUUCCUUAAGUAAUUCUGAAUCGUGUCAGAUGGGAUAAUACCUCCGACCAAACUUUUCUUACAGAUUCUGUUUCCCUAUGAGAAUACGUGACUAUAUAUGUAUAUUGUGUGUAUUAUGUAUGCAUAUGGAGGCGCAUGUAUGUAUGGAAGUAUGUAAAUUU